UGUUUAUCUACAACUUUUAUUUGUUAGUUAUGCGAAGGACUGAACCUAUAAAGUUUAGAAGCUGUCUACAAAUUCCAGCAAUAGCAAAUUGAAAAGGAUUAAAAUAAAGGAG